rnacentral:lncRNA from 1 species
UUUGAUGAAUAAUUAGACUAUUGUGGUUCAGUUUGGUUUGAUUCGAAUAUGAUUUCAUCUUGAGAUUCUAAAUAAAGUGUUCUGGGAAUAUCAUGAAUUUAUAGAAAUGGUUAUCUAUUCCUCGUGGUAGCUUACUUUUAAAAAAAAAAAAAAAGGUUUUCGUCUGGAAAAUAAUUUUUAUUUUAUUUUUUGGUUUUUUGUAAUUCUAGUGUUUUAAAAUAAGUUUUCAGGUGGGAAAUGAUUUCAAAUGAUAGAUGUACUUGUAUGUGCUGUGAAAUGAAUGGGCUUUUGUAAUCUAUUUGUAUACCGUGCAUUGUCGUUGUGAGUGGAUGUUUUGGUUGCGACUUGUACUAUAUAUGACGCCAUGCAAAUAAAGGAGAGACUCUAUCCGUAUGGAUAGUGGGGUCCUGCAUUUGUGGCGGGUUUGUCAUCCCUUGAGUCAAGGUUUCAAAAAAAAACUAGGCAUUUUUCGCUGAUCAGUUGGCUUUAAAUUUUGGCCAUUUUUUCAAAUUGCUUUAUAAAAAAGAAUCCCGGAGUAUGAUAGUCUUAUAAUUUGUAAAUAGUAUUAUUGUACUUUUCUAUUUAAUAAUAAUUUUUUAUAGUAAAAUAAAAAUAUAACUAACAAUAAGUAUAUAUUUUAAAUUACAGGGUGAUAAAGUCAUAUUCCGUUAAACCAUAGGGGCAAAUUGAUGUUUAUCCAUCUUACAAAUUAAAAAAAUUUUGCCCAUACACUUAUCUUUGGGAUAUAAAUUAUAUAACCCAUGGAUGUGAUUUAGUCUAGAUGGUAAAAAAUUCAUACCAUAGAUGAAAUGUAUGAUAUGCACCUUUUUCUGGGUUUCAUGAAUAGCUUUGCUCUUUACAAAUUUGUUGGUAGAUAAGAUAUAAAUAUAAAAUCAUAUAUAUAUAGUUUUUAUUAUGAAUAAAUUUUAAAUACCACUUACGUGGUUUCGUACUUUUUUAUUUUAUUACUCCGCACUUUAAAUUGUAUCAAUUUAGUACCCCGUGGUUUUAUUUUUUUGCUUUUUAUUAUUUUCUCCACUAAUUUUUUUCGUUAAAUCAGUAAUACAGUCAAAACUAAAAGGUACUAAAAUGAAUAUUCGUUAAACCUAGGUGGAAUAUUUGAAGUUUUUUGCAUGUAAUUUAACGAAAUAUUAACGGGAGAGCUAACGAAAAGAAAAAAUGAAACCAAAAAGUACUAAUUGAUACACUUUAAAUUAUAAGGUACUAAAGUAAGAAAAUACAAAACCACAUGAUGAUAUUUGAAGUUUAUUCUUUUAUUAUUGAAGUAAUCAUAACUAUAGGUUGCUCAAUCAACAAAAUUGUGGUGCAAAUACAUAACACGCUGGCAAAGAUAGAGCCUCAAAACCUUUCUUUGUAUAAGAGUAUUGAAUAUUCUUUCUCAUUUUAUUAAGUUCUUGAACAUGUGGCAUACAAUGAAUUCAACAUGUUUUAAAGAAUGGAGAGAAAUAGUGCACCACGCCACCCAUGGACCCCCCAUAUGUAUCUUCAGCUGGUAUUUCUUUAAAAGGGUAAACUUCAAAUAUCCCCUAUAGUUUCACACUUUCUCACUUUAGUAUUCUAUAGUUUAAACUGUAUUAAGUUAGCCGGCCCUUGUGGUUUUACACUUUCUCACUUUAGUAUCUUAUGAUUUAAAGUAUAUCAAGUUAGCAUUCUGUGAUUUUAUUUUUCUCUUUUUAUUAUCCAUUUCACUAAUUUUUUUCUCUGUAAAGUUUUCCCUAUUUUAAAAUAGAGCAAUGUUUAAUAGGAUUGAUUAAAUAUGCGUUCUAUUUAAAAUAACUAAUGUGGGAGAUCGCCGUCCCGUUUUAAAAUUAUGCGCAAGAUAUUUUACUAGAAGUAAGAAAAAGUGAGAAAUUUUUUUUUUUUUUUUUCAAUGAAUGACACAUCCAGUAGUAAUUCGAAUAGAAUAAUAUAUUUUUAAUUUUUUUAAAAAAUACAAAAAUAUAUUACAUGUUCCUUCUGUCAUUAUUACGAGAGAUAAUUGCCUACAUACCCCUCACAACUUCAAAAAUACCUUAUUAACCUUUAUUUUUUUAUUCUUUCUAAUAUAUCCCUCAAAUGCCCUUCGUUAUUUCAAAAUACUCUUGCAGUUAGUACUUGUUAAGUUAACUCGGAUUAAACAUGAGUUAAAUAUCUAUUAGAGUUAAUAAAAAAAUCAAAACUGCUGCUUUUGACUUAAGGAUAAAUAAAAAAUAUUGGUGACGAUAGAGAGGCAUAUUUGAAAAGAUCAAAAGUCAAAAAUAUUUUUUGUGCCCCUAACUUAAGGGCAAAUAAAAAUAGUCAGUGAUGGUAGAAAUGUACAUUUGAAAGGGCAAAACAAUAAUUUAAUAUAUUGUUAACCGUUCAUUAACCGAAUUUAACUUUAGGGGUAUAUUUGAAAUAGAUUGGAACGUAAAAAUAGUAUUUUUAAUUUGGAAAAUUUUCAUUACUACCUUUCC